rnacentral:rRNA from 1 species
UACGAAGGUGGCAAGCGUUGUUCGGAUUUACUGGGCGUACAGGGAGCGUAGGCGGUUGGGUAAGCCCUCCGUGAAAUCUCCGGGCCUAACCCGGAAAGUGCGGAGGGGACUGCUCGGCUAGAGGAUGGGAGAGGAGCGCGGAAUUCCCGGUGUAGCGGUGAAAUGCGCAGAGAUCGGGAGGAAGGCCGGUGGCGAAGGCGGCGCUCUGGAACAUUUCUGACGCUGAGGCUCGAAAGCGUGGGGAGCAAACAGG